UAGGAACUUAGGUUAAGUUCUUCAGCGAGGGAACAGUAUAGAUGUUGAAGUCAUUGAAUUUGACAGAUAAAAGGAGUGGUCUAGGAAAAUGAAGUGAUUCACUGAGAAGUUCCAAAUCUGUGGUUUAGCUAGGCACAACUUAAAAUGCUUCACUGUCUCACCAGGAUAAAGGACAACCUCAGAAUAGCAUACAAAGAACUUCAGAUCUAUCCUUCUCAGCCUGCUCCUGUGUUUAUGCUGUAGAGUCCAUUUGAAACCAGCACAUCUGAGAGAGCAAAACAUUCUAUACUAUAAAAACACAGAAGAAAAAUGGAUUAAGUUGAGGAUAAAAGUGAACAGAGAAAAUAACAAUGGGCUUUGUUGCCACGCUGGAGGAAUAGCUUGUCAGGUCAGCUUUGCAGAGAGGCAUAUUCCCAAACCAGUCAUCAUUAACAGACUCACUUCCACAGGAAAAAAAAAAAAAAAAAAAAGACAGAGUCUGAAAACUCCGGACAAAAGAAAUCCCUGCAGACAAAGUAAAAACAAAUUAAAAGACCCAUUAUAAAACACAGAUGCUACAAGGAAAAUAAACUUUCUAAGAUUUACUGGGCUUUGACAAACUUGGACAUUUGUGGAAAAGACAUCAGCAGCAACUCCCAGAUGAGAAUGUCAAGCUUCCCAGCUGCAGUUCCAGGACUUUCACCCUCCUUUAUGACCUUUUCUCAGGCAUGUUCCAGUAUAAUCUGCAAUCUACUCAAGUCGGAAAAGGAAACAGCAGCACCCUGGUGAGAAACAGUGCCUUCUGACCCACAUACCAAACUGGGCGGAAGCAAUGCUUGUUCACAGGAGCCAAGGAGAGUAGAACACACACUAAAAGAAAAUGAAUUUUAUGUGUGUGUGUGUGUGUGUGUGUCGACACACAGACACACAUUUUUAAAGACUAUAAACACAACAAACAGUUUGGGUGACAAAUAAAGACAGAAAAUACUGAAGGACAAUCCUGUGUGGGCACUGAUUCAUUUUGCCUAUAACUUUUUUUUGGAGGCAAUCGAUGGUGAAGUAAAAACACUGCAAUUUUUGAUGCAUUUCAAGCAAAAACACUUGUUGCUUUCUUUGAGUAAAAAGUUCACGUCACCAUAGACAUUACUGUAGGUACUUUGAGAAAGGGUGAGAAGGUAGGAAGAUUAGAGAAAUCUCCCACAAAAUGGACUUGAAAACAAGAAUCCAAUCUUUCUUUUUUUUUUUUAAACAGGAUGGGGAUUGAGAUUAUUAAUGA
rnacentral:lncRNA from 1 species